rnacentral:lncRNA from 1 species
AUUUGAAAAUGCAAGACUCUUAGUGGAGGUCAAGCAAGUCAAUAUAGGUAGAAUACUCUGCAAAAUCAUGCGAGUGAGGGGAUGUCAAACAAUGGGUCAGGAAAUGCAUUGUUUUUCCGCAAAACAAAAGCCGAUUGCCAUUACGUAAGUCACUUUAGCAUCAUGAGACUGCUGCUUGAUAAAUUCAGAAAUAAACCCAAAAACAAGACACGCAAAAAUAAAAAUCAAUUUAAUGAUGCCCUCUCCACACUGGGAUAAAUAAAAACAAACGCAUCACAUCUAAUGUGGAUAUAUAAGACGCCUUGUGAAACACUACAGGAAAAAUUCAGUUUCUAGCUAUGGCACUUGCCGCAUAGAUGUGGGGGGCCUUGAAGUAAUAGUGAUAGUUACCACUGCAUUUAGAAAUUGAAAGCAUUCAUGCAGACAAGGAUGAUUCUUUAUAUUUUUGGCUACCACUUCAAAUGCCUCCACCAAGUGUUACAAUGCUGCACGCAGCCAUACUAAGGAUCUCGCAGCAACACCUGCAGGUAAAAAGCAGAAGCAGUCAAAGUGCUGGUGUGUACUGGACACUAUGUUUGAAAACAUUUGGGCAAGAAGAGUGCAAGAAGCAGACAUAACUGCAUUUAUUUCCAUAAUUCCCCAUUUGAAUGGCCUUUUCUUUUUGCUUAGACAAUGCCUACACCUAGCCACAGCAGCUCCCUCAUACAGACUCCGCAAGCCAAGAGGCCAUGGAGGCAAAUGCAGGCAGCCAGCACACCUUGAACAGCCACCUUGACUGCGGGUGUGUCAGUAGAUUCCUGUUGUACAUAUGCUCAUAAUAAACGUCAGUAAACUUGAACUUGAUAAUAAACUUGAAGGCAAAUGGGACA